GACGAACGCUGGCGGCGUGCCUAAUACAUGCAAGUCGAGCGCAGGAAACUGACGGAACUCUUCGGAGGGAAGGCAGUGGAAUGAGCGGCGGACGGGUGAGUAACACGUAAGGAACCUGCCUCAAGGAUUGGGAUAACUCCGAGAAAUCGGAGCUAAUACCGGAUAGUUCAACGGACCGCAUGGUCCGCUGAUGAAAGGCGCUCCGGCGUCACCUUGAGAUGGACUUGCGGUGCAUUAGCUAGUUGGUGGGGUAACGGCCCACCAAGGCGACGAUGCAUAGCCGACCUGGGAGGGUGAUCGGCCACACUGGGACUGAGACACGGCCCAGACUCCUACGGGAGGCAGCAGUAGGGAAUCUUCCACAAUGGACGAAAGUCUGAUGGAGCAACGCCGCGUGAGUGAUGAAGGUUUUCGGAUCGUAAAACUCUGUUGUAAGGGAAGAACACGUACGAGAGGAAAUGCUCGUACCUUGACGGUACCUUACGAGAAAGCCACGGCUAACUACGUGCCAGCCGCCGCCGUAA
rnacentral:rRNA from 1 species